GAUGAACGCUGGCGGCGUGCCUAAUACAUGCAAGUCGAGCGAACAGACGAGGAGCUUGCUCCUCUGACGUUAGCGGCGGACGGGUGAGUAACACGUGGAUAACCUACCUAUAAGACUGGGAUAACUUCGGGAAACCGGAGCUAAUACCGGAUAAUAUAUUGAACCGCAUGGUUCAAUAGUGAAAGACGGUUUUGCUGUCACUUAUAGAUGGAUCCGCGCCGCAUUAGCUAGUUGGUAAGGUAACGGCUUACCAAGGCAACGAUGCGUAGCCGACCUGAGAGGGGGAACGGCCACUAGGGAAGUGAGAAACGGUCCGAGCCCAUACGGGGGGCAAGGGUGGGGAGUCUUCCAGUAGGGGAGAAUGUUUGACGGCACAACCCCGCGGAAGUGUGGAAGUUUUUCGGGCUGUAAAAUUUGGUUAUUAGGGGAAAAGAAAUGUGAAAGUAACUUAAGUCGUCUUGAGGGUACCUAGUCAAGAUGCCGCAGUUGAAGACUU
rnacentral:rRNA from 1 species